UGCGCGGCGGUCAGGUGGGCCCCCCAGCUAGAGCUCCGUGCCGCUUCGUUCGCUCUCCCGCUUCCGCUCCAUCUUGGCUCCAGCAGCUCGGCUUGGUUACUCUCCAGCUGCCGGGUCUGUGGCAGCCGGGACCAAGUGACCUCAGCGAACGCGAGGAGACAGUGGGUCUGAGUAAACUCGCGUUCCCGAGAAUUCGCUUGGGGCGUGGGGGCAGUUGCGGAUUGUCCGCUUCCUGAGACCCACGAACAUUAAUUGAGCACCUAGUAUGUGAGGGAGGAAGCCGUGAGGAGAGGAACACAGCAGGAUGAGACAAAGCCAGGGCCUGUUCUCAAGGAGCCUCUGCUUCCCCGUGCCGUCGCGGACCCUCCUCCGAGAUUCCCGGCCAUAGGUUGCUAGGAUGAUUAUGCAUAUCCAUCUGAUACAGGGAAAAAACUCAGCAACUUCACCCAGAGUCUGCUGUCCCUACAAGACUGCAUCUGAAAGACCAAAGAGAAACUGACAAUCCAAGAUGGACAAGCAAACCAAAUUAAAUACUUUGAAAAGGC